CAGGAAACUCAGUUAAAUUUGAAUUUCAGAUAAACAACAAAUGUUUUUUGAUGUACAUGAAUUCUGUGCAAUAUUUAGGACAUACUUAUACUAAAAAUUAUUUGUUAUGUACCUGUAUCUGAAAUUCAAAUGUACCUGAGUGUCCUAU
rnacentral:miRNA from 10 species